CGGUGACACGGAGCUUGCUCUGUGGGAUCAGUGGCGAACGGGUGAGAAACACGUGAGCAACCUGCCCCUGACUCUGGGAUAAGCGCUGGAAACGGCGUCUAAUACUGGAUACGAGUAGCGACCGCAUGGUCAGUUACUGGAAAGAUUUAUUGGUUGGGGAUGGGCUCGCGGCCUAUCAGCUUGUUGGUGAGGUAAUGGCUCACCAAGGCGUCGACGGGUAGCCGGCCUGAGAGGGUGACCGGCCACACUGGGACUGAGACACGGCCCAGACUCCUACGGGAGGCAGCAGUGGGGAAUAUUGCACAAUGGGCGCAAGCCUGAUGCAGCAACGCCGCGUGAGGGAUGACGGCCUUCGGGUUGUAAACCUCUUUUAGCAGGGAAGAAGCGAAAGUGACGGUACCUGCAGAAAAAGCGCCGGCUAACUACGUGCCAGCAGCCGCGGUAAUACGUAGGGCGCAAGCGUUAUCCGGAAUUAUUGGGCGUAAAGAGCUCGUAGGCGGUUUGUCGCGUCUGCUGUGAAAUCCGGAGGCUCAACCUCCGGCCUGCAGUGGGUACGGGCAGACUAGAGUGCGGUAGGGGAGAUUGGAAUUCCUGGUGUAGCGGUGGAAUGCGCAGAUAUCAGGAGGAACACCGAUGGCGAAGGCAGAUCUCUGGGCCGUAACUGACGCUGAGGAGCGAAAGGGUGGGGAGCAAACAGGCUUAGAUACCCUGGUAGUCCACCCCGUAAACGUUGGGAACUAGUUGUGGGGUCCAUUCCACGGAUUCCGUGACGCAGCUAACGCAUUAAGUUCCCCGCCUGGGGAGUACGGCCGCAAGGCUAAAACUCAAAGGAAUUGACGGGGACCCGCACAAGCGGCGGAGCAUGCGGAUUAAUUCGAUGCAACGCGAAGAACCUUACCAAGGCUUGACAUAUACGAGAACGGGCCA
rnacentral:rRNA from 1 species